AUCGCAGGCUGCAACCCGCCUGCGUGAAGUUGGAAUCGCUAGUAAUCGCGGAUCAGCAUGCCGCGGUGAAUACGUUCCCGGGCCUUGUACACACCGCCCGUCACACCAUGAGAGUCGGGAACACCCGAAGUCCGUAGCCUAACCGCAAGGGGGGCGCGGCCGAAGGUGGGUUCGAUAAUUGGGGUGAAGUCGUAACAAGGUAGC
rnacentral:rRNA from 1 species